rnacentral:rRNA from 1 species
GCUCAGGACGAACGCUGGCGGCGUGCUUAACACAUGCAAGUCGAACGAUGAUGCCCAGCUUGCUGGGUGGAUUAGUGGCGAACGGGUGAGUAACACGUGAGUAACCUGCCCCUGACUCUGGGAUAAGCGUUGGAAACGACGUCUAAUACUGGAUAUGAUCACUGGCCGCAUGGUCUGGUGGUGGAAAGAUUUUUUGGUUGGGGAUGGACUCGCGGCCUAUCAGCUUGUUGGUGAGGUAAUGGCUCACCAAGGCGACGACGGGUAGCCGGCCUGAGAGGGUGACCGGCCACACUGGGACUGAGACACGGCCCAGACUCCUACGGGAGGCAGCAGUGGGGAAUAUUGCACAAUGGGCGAAAGCCUGAUGCAGCAACGCCGCGUGAGGGAUGACGGCCUUCGGGUUGUAAACCUCUUUUAGUAGGGAAGAAGCGAAAGUGACGGUACCUGCAGAAAAAGCACCGGCUAACUACGUGCCAGCAGCCGCGGUAAUACGUAGGGUGCAAGCGUUGUCCGGAAUUAUUGGGCGUAAAGAGCUCGUAGGCGGUUUGUCGCGUCUGCUGUGAAAUCCCGAGGCUCAACCUCGGGCUUGCAGUGGGUACGGGCAGACUAGAGUGCGGUAGGGGAGAUUGGAAUUCCUGGUGUAGCGGUGGAAUGCGCAGAUAUCAGGAGGAACACCGAUGGCGAAGGCAGAUCUCUGGGCCGUAACUGACGCUGAGGAGCGAAAGCAUGGGGAGCGAACAGGAUUAGAUACCCUGGUAGUCCAUGCCGUAAACGUUGGGCGCUAGAUGUAGGGACCUUUCCACGGUUUCUGUGUCGUAGCUAACGCAUUAAGCGCCCCGCCUGGGGAGUACGGCCGCAAGGCUAAAACUCAAAGGAAUUGACGGGGGCCCGCACAAGCGGCGGAGCAUGCGGAUUAAUUCGAUGCAACGCGAAGAACCUUACCAAGGCUUGACAUACACCGGAAACGGCCAGAGAUGGUCGCCCCCUUGUGGUCGGUGUACAGGUGGUGCAUGGUUGUCGUCAGCUCGUGUCGUGAGAUGUUGGGUUAAGUC